rnacentral:rRNA from 1 species
UGGGGAAUUUUGGACAAUGGGCGAAAGCCUGAUCCAGCAAUGCCGCGUGUGUGAAGAAGGCCUUCGGGUUGUAAAGCACUUUUGUCCGGAAAGAAAUCCUUGGCUCUAAUACAGUCGGGGGAUGACGGUACCGGAAGAAUAAGCACCGGCUAACUACGUGCCAGCAGCCGCGGUAAUACGUAGGGUGCAAGCGUUAAUCGGAAUUACUGGGCGUAAAGCGUGCGCAGGCGGUUUGCUAAGACCGAUGUGAAAUCCCCGGGCUCAACCUGGGAACUGCAUUGGUGACUGGCAGGCUAGAGUAUGGCAGAGGGGGGUAGAAUUCCACGUGUAGCAGUGAAAUGCGUAGAGAUGUGGAGGAAUACCGAUGGCGAAGGCAGCCCCCUGGGCCAAUACUGACGCUCAUGCACGAAAGCGUGGGGAGCAAACAGGAUUAGAUACCCUGGUAGUCCACGCCCCUAAAACGAUGUCAACUAGUUGUUGGGGAUUCAUUUCCUAGUAACGUAGCUAACGCGUGAAGUUGACCGCCUGGGGAGUACGGUCGCAAGAUUAAAACUUAAAGGAAUUGACGGGGUCAUAGCUGUUUCCU